rnacentral:rRNA from 1 species
GACGAACGCUGGCGGCGUGCUUAACACAUGCAAGUCGAACGGAAAGGCCUUUUCGGAGGUACUCGAGUGGCGAACGGGUGAGUAACACGUGGGUGAUCUGCCCUGCACUCUGGGAUAAGCCUGGGAAACUGGGUCUAAUACCGGAUAGGACCGCACUUUAGUGUGUGUGGUGGAAAGGUUUUUCGGUGUAGGAUGAGCCCGCGGCCUAUCAGUUUGUUGGUGGGGUAAUGGCCUACCAAGGCGGCGGCGGGUAGCCGGACUGAGGGGUUGGUCGGCCACAUUGGGACUGAGAUACGGCCCAGACUCCUACGGGGGGCAGCAGUGGGGAAUAUUGCACAAUGGGCGCAAGCCUGAUGCAGCGACGCCGCGUGGGGGAUGACGGCCUUCGGGUUGUAAACUCCUUUCGCCAGGGACGAAGCGUUUUGUGACGGUACCUGGAGAAGAAGCACCGGCUAACUACGUG